CCUACGGGCGGCAGCAGUGAGGAAUAUUGGUCAAUGGACGCGAGUCUGAACCAGCCAAGUCGCGUGAAGGAAGACGGCCCUAUGGGUUGUAAACUUCUUUUGUAUGGGAGUAAAAGUGUCCACGUGUGUUCUUCUGAAUGUACCAUAUGAAUAAGGAUCGGCUAACUCCGUGCCAGCAGCCGCGGUAAUACGGAGGAUCCGAGCGUUAUCCGGAUUUAUUGGGUGUAAAGGGUGCGUAGGCGGAUUGUUAAGUCAGUGGUGAAAGUUCCGGGCUUAACCCUGAAACUGCAGUUGAUACUGGUGUUCUAGAGUGUAGAAGAGGUAGGCGGAAUGUGUGGUGUAGCGGUGAAAUGCUUAGAUAUCACGAAGAACACCGAUUGCGAAGGCAGCUUAC
rnacentral:rRNA from 1 species